CUAUAUCAGUAUUCAGUCAUGCAACAAAUGGUAAAGGUUAUUAUUUUGCUACAUUGUCACAUGCAAAGCUUGGAUCAAAAUUGAAGAUUAAUGAGUGCAAAGCAUACCUAGAGAGUUCUCCAUUAAAUAUUUGUAAAGUUCCCACCAAUGUGAACCAUGGGAUUAGUGGUGCUCCUCUUUCUUCUUAUCGUCUUCUUGAAAAUAAUUUUAGAUUGUACUCUUUGCCACCUUUCUUCUACACCUCUCAAGCUAAACCAAUCCUUAAUGUGCAUGACCAUUGGUUUGUCAAAUAGAGUGGAAUAAAAUUCUAUGUAUGGCUACAAAUAUAAAGAAGAAUGGAUUCUUGACUAUAUUUUUUAUUUGUUAAUUUGUGGACUUAAUUCGUAUGUAAUUGAUAAUUUGAUAUAUAAAUAAAAUCAAGGUUUGUCAUGAGUCAAAAACUUUAUUUAUUUCUUCAUAUUUCUGUAUAUACACUUGCCUAUUUUUGUUUUUUUUUUUUGGGUGAGCUGAGAACAUUCACUUUUAAUUAAUUGUUGAUUUAACCCUGAUUUAAACAUAAAAUUAUUCAAACAACAACGUUGAGGACUUUGAUCUUAGAAUUAUUAAAUUCAAAACUCUACACUUUAUUGGUACAUCUCAAUAUUUAUGACAUGUAUUAUUAUAGUAAUAUUUAUCGAUAUCAGUCACAUAUAUCGAUAAAUAUUAUGGUAAUACAUGUCAUUAAUAUAAUGUAACUGACUUGUGAAUAAUACAAGUGUAGGAUCUAGUUUUAUAAAGAAUGCAUAGUAAUGGCAGUUUUUUUAUUUAAAAAAGAAUCAUAUGAGAAACUUCCAAAUGCUUCAACAUCUCAACUUGCUACUAGUACAAAAACUGAUUUUUAACAUGUUUUUAAGGUCAUAAGUCUAUUUCUUAACCGGUGUAAGAUCUUCCGUUUUAAUAUAUGAAAUUUUUUAGGACGAUUUUUCAACUGGAUUAAAAUAAUAUGGUUCAAUCCGGUUGAGAAUUGAGAUAAACAUUCAUCUUAACAUUUUUAUCAUCAACGCAAUAUUGUGUUACAUUUUAAGUUGGUUGUGAGAAACAAAUAUAAACUUCGUGUUACAUUAUUUUAUGUCGCCUUUUGCCAAAAACCAGAGAGAAUUGAGAUAUAAUACCAAGGCUAAAGUAUACUUUUUAUUCUCUCUAUAAUUUACAAAAUGUUUGUUAUGAUCUUUUAUCGUCUUUUUUAUUCAUUUUAGUCCUUUAUCUUUCUUUUACCGAAUUGACUGGCAUCAAUUAAUAUCAUUGGUUUAAUUAAGACAAUAGGUUUGAGAUUUAGGGAGGUUUCUUUGGCACGACUCCCUUGGACUGACCAUGAAUUGCAAAGUAGUGAAUUUUUAUUGAAUGUUAUUGUAAAACUAAUUCACAUUGAUAGUGCAUACCUUUUUAACUCGUAUAAUUUCUGUCUUUAAAAAAAAGUUUAAUGAUAACCGAGUACUCUAAAUAUUAUGAAGGUUAUCUCACACGAAAUGCAAGAAAGCAAUACAUCUCAAUUUUGAAAAAGGGAUGUGUGAUUAGUUUUUUUUUUUGUUUUGUUUUGUUUUGUUUAGUAGCUUAGUGGUUGGAGCACAUAAUUAAAUGCAGAGAAGUGGGGUGUCCGAGGUUCGAACCCCGGUCCACUACAUAAAUUAUGCAAUGUCUCUACCAACUAAACUCACAGAGAUUGAUUAGUUUUGUUUUUGACGAAAAUCAUAGUGCGAUAUACAUUUAAAGUAUUCGCCUUGUAUCUUCUUAUAUUGUCGCGUUCUAAGUUAUCUUAAAAAAAAUUGGAGAAGAGAAAAUUAUUAUUAAUAGCAGUGCUAACCAUUUUACAAUAGUCCCAAAUAAGAUUUAAAAUAUAUCUCUUGAGAUUAUAUAGUCAAGUUUUGAUAAUAAAUUGACACUUCUUAUGAGUCUUCUCAAUUUGAAUCUUGAAACUUUAACUUCUUUAAUCUCUUUUCCCAAUCCGAGGGAGAUAUCAAUCUCAAGAAGGUUAAUGAUUUGUAUUCCAAUUUCAUCAAAUAUAAUUUUAAUUAUGAUUUUUUACCAUGUAAAAAUUUGCAAUCGCAUUUUUUUCACAAAAGAAUAAAAUGUGUAUCGGGCUUAAAAUGAGUUAAAUUUAAAUUAGGUGUUGUGAGAUGAAUAACUCGGAAUUAAUUAUUCUUAAUUUAUGGUGUCAAAUUACAAAAGUGAAUUCAAGUUGCUUAUAUUUCUAUUACGCUAAAUAGUCAUAGUAAUUUGGAGUUUUAUUUAAGGAAUUGUUUUGCUCAAUAAUCAAACUCAAAUUCUUCUAAACGAUUGUUUUUUUUGAUAGAGUCAUUAACCGCUUGUUUACUAUACGUUGAAUGGUUGAAAAUAUAUGUUAGCUAGCUGGCCAUGUAGUAGAGAUAUGAUCCAAUAUUCAUAGAAAAAAGAAGAUUUAAUCCAAUAAUUAUUUAGGACAUGCAAUUCAGGGUUUUAUCGUGCAUCCAUGUCAUAUCCUACAUCUUAUAAUUAUUAUUAUUAUUAUUGUAGGGACGUGUGCAUUGAUGAAAAAUUCAAAGUUAGUAAUUUAAUAAGUGACCAAAUAUGCUCUAAGUGUGUGUUUUUAGAUAGCAAUACAUGUUCUCCACUCACUAGGUAGGUGAAUGAUCUCUAGUCAUGUAUUUUCUUGCAAGGAAACAACACUCUACAAAUGAAAGACUCCCCUCCUUAUAUUUACCUAGAGCUUUAUUAUUCAUAAGCCACGACGUGCAACCAAUUAUCUUGGUCCAUCCAAUUAUUCAUAUACUCCAUAAUGCAGUAUGUAUUUAUGUUACACAAACACUAUGCUCUAUAAAUAGCCUUGAUAUUCAGGGUAUUCUACCUUACCACUGCUUUGAAGCAUUUACCACCCUUUUUCUGAAACAUUACAAAGAAACUAACUUAUGAUGGCUUCUCAUAGAUCCAUUUUCGCUAUCUCUAUCCUUCUUUUUGCGUUGCUAGCCAUAGCCUCCGCAACUGAUUAUGUGUAUGGUCCAGCACCAAACACUGAGAAGUCUGAACCCGAAAUCGAAGUAGAUAAGAAGUCAUACUCUACAAAAUCAGACUAUGAAGUUUCCAAAUCCAAAACAAAUUAUGAGUAUAGUCCAACUCCAAAGGUUGAGAAAUCCAAACUCGAUAUAGAUUACGAAGUACAUUUAAUAAAACCAAACUAUAAAGUUCCCAAACCCAAAGUAAAUUAUAGAUAUGAUCCCGUUCCAGAGAUAGAGAGACCUGAACCAGAAACAUAUUACAAACACCUCACCAAACCAAACUACGAAGUUCCCAAACCUGAAAUAGAUUAUGGGUAUAGUCCAACUCCAAAGGUUGAGAAGCCUAAGUCCGAAGAAGUUUACACAUCAAACCCCACAAAACCGGACUAUGAAGUUCCCAAAACCAAAAUAGAUUAUGGCUAUGCACCGGCUCCCAAGAUUGAGAAACCCAAGUCCGAAGCUGUUUACACACCAAACCCCACAAAACCGGACUAUGGAGUUCCCAAACCUAAAACAACCUAUGAAUAUGCCCCUGCCCCCAAGAUUGAGAAACCAAAGUCCGAAGCAAUUUACACACCAAACCCAACAAAACCAAACUAUGAAGUUCCCAAACCCAAAACAAAUUAUGAGUAUGCCCCAGCUCCCAAGAUUGAGAAACCAAAGUCUGAAGUAGUUCACACACCAAACCCCACAAAACCUGACUAUGAAGUUCCCAAAUCCAAAACUGAUUAUGGGUAUGCCCCGACCCCCAAAAUCGAGAAAUCCAAGUCUGAAGCAGUCUACACACCAAACCCCACAAAAUCAGACUAUGAAGUUCCCAAAACCAAAACAGAUUAUGAGUAUGCCCCAGCCCCCAAGAUUGAGAAACCAAAGUCUGAAGUAGUUUACACACGAAACCCCACAAAACCUGACUAUGAAGUUCCCAAAUCCAAAACUGAUUAUGGGUAUGCCCCGACCCCCAAAAUCGAGAAAUCCAAGUCUGAAGCAGUCUACACACCAAACCCCACAAAAUCAGACUAUGAAGUUCCCAAAACCAAAAUAGAUUAUGAGUAUGCCCCAGCCCCCAAGAUCGAGAAACCAAAGUCUGAAGCAGUUUACACACCAAAAUCCACAAAACCAGACUAUGAAGUUCCCAAAACAAAUUAUAACUAUGCCCCAGCACCAAAAAUUGAGAAACCCAGACUUGAUACAAAUUAUAAACUACUCCCCACAAAACCAGAUUAUGAAGUUCCAAAACCAAAAGAAAACUACGAAGUGCAACUGCCCACAAUCAUUAGUGUUCAAGGAGUGGUUUUGUGUAAAUCUGGCUCUAAUUAUUAUCCAAUUCAAGGUAAAUUUUCGCUUAUAUGAUAAAAAGGAAAAGAAAAUUAAAAACAUAACUCACCUAGCUAUAAUACUUUUUUACAACAUUUCUUAUGUUUUUCAUGUUUGACAUUGAAACCAAUUAGUUUAUGUUAGUCAGGACUUUAAAAUUUGAUGAUAUAUCAUUGAUUAUAUAUUUAUCAUGUGUGAGAAAUGCAGGGGCUGUAGCACGAGUUACAUGUGAAUGUGUGAAUGAGCUUGGAUAUGAGACAGGUCCUAUAACAGUAUUGAGUCAUGUAACAGAUAGUAAAGGUUAUUACUAUGUUACAUUGUCACUUGCAGAGUUGGGAUCAAAGUUGAAGAUUAACGAAUGCAAAGCAUACCUAGAGAGUUCUCCAUUAGAGACAUGUAAAGUUCCCACCGAUGUGAACCAUGGCAUCAGUGGUGCUCCUCUUUCUUCUUACCGUCUUCUUGAAAACAAUU
rnacentral:lncRNA from 1 species